UACGGGGGGGCAAGCGUUGUUCGGAAUUACUGGGCGUAAAGGGUUCGUAGGUGGCCAACUAAGUCAGACGUGAAAUCCCUCAGCUUAACUGGGGAACUGCGUCUGAUACUGGUUGGCUUGAGUGCAGGAGAGGAACGCGGAAUUCCAGGUGUAGCGGUGAAAUGCGUAGAUAUCUGGAGGAACACCGGUGGCGAAGGCGGCGUUCUGGACUGCAACUGACACUGAUGAACGAAAGCCAGGGAGCAAACGGG
rnacentral:rRNA from 1 species